rnacentral:rRNA from 1 species
AUACAUGCAAGUCGAGCUGACAGAAGGGGAGCUGCUCCCGGAUGUAGCGGCGGACGGGUGAGUAACACGUGGGUAACCUGCCUGUAAGACUGGGAUAACUCCGGGAAACCGGAGCUAAUACCGGAUAGUUCCUUGAACCGCAUGGUUCAAGGAUGAAAGACGGUUUCGGCUGUCACUUACAGAUGGACCCGCGGCGCAUAGCUAGUUGGUGAGGUAACGGCUCACCAAGGCGACGAUGCGUAGCCGACCUGAGAGGGUGAUCGGCCACACUGGGACUGAGACACGGCCCAGACUCCUACGGGAGGCAGCAGUAGGGAAUCUUCCGCAAUGGACGAAAGUCUGACGGAGCAACGCCGCGUGAGUGAUGAAGGUUUUCGGAUCGUAAAGCUCUGUUGUUAGGGAAGAACAAGUGCAAGAGUAACUGCUUGCACCUUGACGGUACCUAACCAGAAAGCCACGGCUAACUACGUGCCAGCAGCCGCGGUAAUACGUAGGUGGCAAGCGUUGUCCGGAAUUAUUGGGCGUAAAGGGCUCGCAGGCGGUUUCUUAAGUCUGAUGUGAAAGCCCCCGGCUCAACCGGGGAGGGUCAUUGGAAACUGGGAAACUUGAGUGCAGAAGAGGAGAGUGGAAUUCCACGUGUAGCGGUGAAAUGCGUAGAGAUGUGGAGGAACACCAGUGGCGAAGGCGACUCUCUGGUCUGUAACUGACGCUGAGGAGCGAAAGCGUGGGGAGCGAACAGGAUUAGAUACCCUGGUAGUCCACGCCGUAAACGAUGAGUGCUAAGUGUUAGGGGGUUUCCGCCCCUUAGUGCUGCAGCUAACGCAUUAAGCACUCCGCCUGGGGAGUACGGUCGCAAGACUGAAACUCAAAGGAAUUGACGGGGGCCCGCACAAGCGGUGGAGCAUGUGGUUUAAUUCGAAGCAACGCGAAGAACCUUACCAGGUCUUGACAUCCUCUGACAACCCUAGAGAUAGGGCUUUCCCUUCGGGGACAGAGUGAC